UACAGAGGUGGCAAGCGUUGUUCGGAAUUACUGGGCGUAAAGGGCGCGUAGGCGGCUUUCUAAGUCAGACGUGAAAUCCCCCGGCUUAACCUGGGAACUGCGUCUGAUACUGGGAGGCUUGAAUGCGGGAGAGGGAUGUAGAAUUCCAGGUGUAGCGGUGAAAUGCGUAGAUAUCUGGAGGAAUACCGGUGGCGAAGGCGGCAUCCUGGACCGACAUUGACGCUGAGGCGCGAAAGCUAGGGGAGCAAACGGG
rnacentral:rRNA from 1 species